UUGAUGCUGAAUUGUUUUAGAGAAAAAUAUAUAUAAUAUAGUUAUACAUUAUUUGUUAAAAAAGUUCCUUUGCAACUAUGUCCGAGUUCUAUAAAUGAAAUUGCGAUUCAUUUAUUUUCUUUGCUUUGAAAAUUAAUAAUUAUAACGAAUAUAUCCAGAUUAUUACGAUGAUAUAUUAACAAAAUAUAAUUGAAUAAUGAUAAGUUAUUGCAUAAUUUCACAGAAAAUAUGCAAGUGUCCCGAUACUUUCGAGCACAGCACAGAACCGACAAAUUAUCGUUCGAAAUACGAAAUUGGAUGUCGAGAAUCGAUGCCAAAUCUUGAAUCGUAACUAAUGAGCGUGGCCAAAAGCGUUUCGCAAAAGACGAUCCCAAUUUAUCAUCCAACUAACGUUCCUCUACCCGUGUAAAUAUGUAUGUUUAUUUACGAAUCCUCAUCGGCCUACCGAGGAAUCUUCUAAUGGAUAAUAUUUAUAAAAUUAUAUAACAUAAAUAAAUUGAUCUCAUUUGUAACGAAUCUGAUGAAAAUACUACAGACAGUGAAGGAAUGAUCAAUUAUUUCUUUUAAAAUGUAUUUUUACGAAAUACUACUGAAAAAAGGGUUAAACAUCAAAUCAAGAUUUCAACAAGAACCUGUGUUCGCUUCGAUUUCGACCCAAUUUCGCUAAAUAACUGUUGUCAUGAUGUCGUGUACACGAUGAUAUAAGUAAGCACAUAGGAGACUGUUACCUUUCGAAUAGUUGGCAGGUGACGGUUGAGCGGCAUCCAAGAUCGUGUUGAAACCAGUCAAGCCUGUAAACCGACGAUUCGUAUUAAUAGUCUAUUAAGGUAACAAGGUUGCCCGGGUAUUGGUGGAACGAGUCGUGUUGCCAGCUCAAUCCUAAUUUCCGGCCACCAGCUGGCUUAAUAUCGCCAUGAUAAACGCCAGAAUAUCCAAAUUUUCUUUUAAAAGCUUUCAUAAAAUUCUCAAUUUACUCAAAACUUAUGAUAUACAUAAAUUUUUAAUAAAUUUCUUGAAAAAAAUAUAUAUAUACAUAUAUAAAAGACACUUGAUGAUUAAUCGUAAUAGGAAGUUCGUUAUUUGUACA